AGCUAUUCAUCCACGUUCCUCUUUUUUCUUGGUUUGAUUUUUAAGUUUUGGUUUAAUGUUGUUCAUUUAAAAGUAGAAUUAGGAACUGAUGCCAAAAAACAUUAUAGAACAAAUACCAACAGUACAAAGGAAUAAUAAACCCAAUAUUUUAAAAAAAUGUAAUAUAAAAAAAGAUAAAUAUUUAAAAUUUGCAACAAGCAAUAAUGAGGUGAACACUGUGCCAUGAAAAAUAGAGUAAACAGACUUAAAAAGGUAAUUACAUUAUUAGUUUGGUUCAUUUAUUGAAUGUGGUGUAAUUUUGACCACAUAAAUUGGUCAUCAUUUUCAUUUUCAAAAUAAUUUAGAUUAAAGUUUACUAUAUAUGGUUAAAAUUAAAUUUCAUUUAUUUCUAUUUAAAUUAAUCAAUUGUGAGCUCAAAUCUUUUUUGAAUUUACACAUGUUUGUUAAGUGUAUGUGUGUGCAUGGGCAGGUCUGGUUGAUGUCCAGAACCAAUGUAAAGCAAUUUUUGGUCUCAAGAGCCUCAUCACAUGGAUCUGGAGACUAUGCGUCUCCAUCAGUGGAUGACGAAGAUCAUGAUUGUGGUAUCAUGACAGCGGAUGUUGAUACAGAUCACGGAGAAGGAUUUGUGUGUGAGAGGAGAAUGAAUCCCAUAGGCACAACUUUCUAGAGCUUUUCUAAAUGUAAUAAAUUUGGCUUAAUCAUCACUACUCUUGCCACCUUCCCCUUUGCUGAUGGUCCUCGUCUUCUCCAGCAGCACUUGUGCUUGUAACUAGUUUAAAGUGAUCCAGAUAAGGCCACGCCAUCAAUGGCUGGGAAUUUUGAAUUAGAGCUGUAAUGUAUGUAGUGGCAGCUCCUUGGAACAAUGUUCAGCUUUCAGAGAGCAAAUAUGUGUUUUAUCUUGUUUUCAGUAUUACUUUUAAAUAUUAUUUUAUAUGUUUAGUUCAUAUAAUAGAAUUUUUUACUCACAUUCAACUUGCAUUCAUAUUGUUUCUUGCUUCUUUGCUGUUUAUAUAUAACCUCAUGUAUAAUGUUUAUUGCUUUACCAAUCUGUGCAAGGCAAAACUCUCCACUGUUACUACUAAUAGACAGAAUAACUAUAUUGUCUUCAGGAGUUACAGAUAAGAGCUUGUCUCUCUUUAAAGUUUUCAAUGACAUUUUAAAAGCAAUAAUUUUCCAUGGUCCUUUUCUUGUUUUCAGGACACUUGAUUAAUUUGUUUCAAGGGAAAUAGAAUCUAGCAGACCUUUGGCUAUUUAAUAAAUGAAAAUAAUUUACCAUGAUCACUUGGUUUUCAUUCUCCUUCUCGUCCCCUGCAUUUGCCUCCUGGCUGGCUGACUGAAUCUUGACUGACUGAACAUUAAACAACAUCCUGUAGGGUUAAUUUAUGAUUAGGACAAAAGUGUCCCAAUUUACCUGCAUUCAUUUUCUGGUAGCAAAAGAGAGAGAGAUUGGCGACAACGACUAG